GCCAAACUGGAGCCCAGCCAGCAUGCAGCUACGAAGCUGAAUUCCUCCCUGCUGCCCCUGGACACACACAAAAGGCAGACCCAGGUUGCCACAGCCUCUCAGAUGGAAUACUUGGCAUGUGGCAAUCAUGAAAAUGAAAAUCAUAUAGUGCUAGAAGAAGAUCAGUGGAGUCUAAGUCAUUGGUAACAUCAAGGAAAGAAGAUAAAUGUUCCAAGAGACAUGCAUGACAGGAAACACCAAAACAUCCUUUCUGACUCAUGCUACAUCCCUCUGUUAUUGGAGCCAUACCUCCCUCAUCUUUUAAUCUUUCCUUACUGGGCAGUUACCUGGAGAGUUCUGAUAGAAUGUGCAAGUAUCAAGAAGUGAAAUUAAUGCCAUUGAGCUACUUUAUUGGACAGUUUCUCUAUCCUGGAAAAAAAUGGAAUACUUAUGCAUGCGUAAACUGUAAAAUAUGAAUCGUG
ensembl:lncRNA